rnacentral:rRNA from 4 species
AUGCGGAAGGAUCAUUA